UACGGAGGGUGCAAGCGUUAUCCGGAUUCACUGGGUUUAAAGGGAGCGUAGGUGGGCUGGUAAGUCAGUGGUGAAAUCUCCGGGCUUAACUCGGAAACUGCCGUUGAUACUAUCAGUCUUGAAUAUUGUGGAGGUAAGCGGAAUAUGUCAUGUAGCGGUGAAAUGCUUAGAUAUGACAUAGAACACCGAUAGCGAAGGCAGCUUGCUACACAAUUAUUGACACUGAGGCUCGAAAGCGUGGGUAGCAAACAGG
rnacentral:rRNA from 1 species